GGGUGACUAGUGACAGAGUGAGGGAAUGGGUGACUAGUGGCAGAGUGAGGGAGGGAAGAGAUGACUAGUGGCAAAGUGAGGGAGGGAUGGGGUGACUAGUGACAGAGUGAGGGGGGUGACUGUCACUAGUCACCCCAUCCCUCUCUCUGUCACUAGUCACUCCCUCCCUAACUCUGUCACUGUGUCACCCGCUCCCUCACUCUGUCACUGUGUCACCCGCUCCCUCUCUCUGUCACUAGUCACCCCAUCCCUCUCUCUGUCACUAGUCACCCC